rnacentral:rRNA from 1 species
CUACGGGCGGCUGCAGUGAGGAAUUUUGCGCAAUGGGGGAAACCCUGACGCAGCAACGCCGCGUGAGUGAUGAAGAUUUUCGGAUCGUAAAGCUCUGUCAAGCGGGAAAAAAUACUUUCGGUUAAUACCCGAAAGGACUGAUGGUACCGCUGGAGGAAGCACCGGCUAACUCCGUGCCAGCAGCCGCGGUAAUACGGAGGGUGCAAGCGUUGUUCGGAUUUACUGGGCGUAAAGAGCGUGUAGGCGGUUUAGCAAGUCAGAUGUGAAAGCCCUGGGCUCAACUCAGGAAGUGCAUUUGAAACUGAUAUACUAGAGUAUGGGAGAGGAGAUUGGAAUUCCCAGUGUAGAGGUGAGAUUCGUAGAUAUUGGGAGGAACACCGGUGGCGAAGGCGACUCUCUGGACCAAUACUGACGCUGAGACGCGAAAGCGUGGGGAGCAAACAGGAUUAGAUACCCGCGUAGUC